GUUUGUUUUUACCUUGAAACAAUUUUUAAACUUCUCUGUUGCACACUGAAGUGCUGAGUUUUCAUUCUUUGCUCUUUCUUGAUUUUGUUCCUAAUAGAACGCUGAGUUGUGCAGAAGUGAUUUAUUUCCCUGAGUGGCAGCAGCUCUGGUGUGUUGGAGGCAUGACACUGUGUGUUCACAGAGGAAAUGGGAAUGUAACAUGUAAGGUUUUAAAACAAAUGUUGAAGGAAAGAGUAAUUAAAAGCCCAAGGGACGAAUUGCAACAUAAGUUUAUCCAUAGCAAUUGCUUUGGUCAGCGAGGAAGGUGAAGCCCAGCAGCUCAUUGGCCACUCAAGCAGCUGCACUGGUCUGGAGGUCUGCUUCUGACACACUGCGCUGAACUGGGGCUCUUCAUGUUGAAAUGAAGAGACUUUCUUGGAAAUCUUUCUUCGUUUCUUCAUUGUGACCUGAGAGAGUGGCGGUGCCGAGGACUCGGUGUUCCAGUACAGACUUUCCACUGGUGAGCUGGAGAGACUGAGCAUUUCGAUCUGCGCUGGGAGCAGCUGACAGCGCGCGGGGAUGUGCUGACGGCAUUAUGGGCAGGCGUUACCCAGGGGCUCACUAUCGGCCAAGCAGCUCAUAUUUCAAAUUAUAAUCUAUUUCCUGAUGCAUUGCUGACGCCUCGUGAGCCAUGUCAGAAGUACUUCCAGGUCAGAGCCCCUUUAAAAGAUUCUGCUUUGCAAAUAUAUAACACUUUCUCAUUUUUCUUCUUCUUCCCAGGCCCAUCUUUUGCUUUCAUUCUGCGUUUACAAAUGAAAAAGUGCAAGACCUUUCAUUUAUUUUUGACAGCACCUUUUUGAAUAAACUCUCAGUUUAUCUUUUUAAAAAUCAUUCCUAUAGACUACAUGACAUACAAAAAAGCCUUAUUUCAGUUAAAGGCAAAUCAGUCUAGCAUUAAUAUGUUUUUUUUUUCUGUUUAUAAUGGCAUUUUCUGUCUCUUCCUUCAAGCUCUGUAAGGCUUAUUGCGUGACUGAGAAACAUAAAAGUCAUUCAAGUAAUAGUGUUAUUUAUAUUAUUGUUAUGCUUAAUGAAUUGGGACUUCUUCCUGUUAAGCACAUGACACUGGUGAAAGUGUAUAGCUGUGCUUCCAUACAUUGGAAGUAUAUUUCUGGGACUAAUUUCUUACAAAUAGCAAGCUACAAUAAUUAAUGAAUUGCUAAGAUAGAUCCUCAGCCUACUGAAGUGCUGUCUUAAAGCACUUAAACGUUGAUAAUAUCUUUUCUAUUCUUGGUUCUGUACCAGCAUCCAGUCUUUUUCUUCUUGAGAUGCCCUGUUUUCCUUGCUUAUAACUUACUACUGUACACGUGCUCUAGCUGCAAUAUAUAUCAACGCAGUCGUGCUUGAUCUGCUUGUCCAUUUUUGGUCGUGUUUUAGCUUGAAGAAAGCAGUUGAUUACUCAGGCUCUG
rnacentral:lncRNA from 1 species